rnacentral:rRNA from 1 species
CCUGAAAGGGCGGGGUGCCCGCAAGGGAGCCUGGAGACAGGUGGUGCAUGGCUGUCGUCAGCUCGUGUCGUGAGAUGUUGGGUUAAGUCCCGCAACGAGCGCAACCCUCACCCCUAGUUGCCACCGGGUAACGCCGAGCACUCUAGGGGAACUGCCCCGGUCAACGGGGAGGAAGGCGGGGAUGACGUCAAGUCAUCAUGCCCCUUACGUCCUGGGCUACACACGUGCUACAAUGGCCGGUACAAAGGGAUGCCACACCGCGAGGUGGAGCUAAACCCAAAAAGCCGGUCUAAGUUCGGAUUGGAGUCUGCAACUCGACUCCAUGAAGGGGGAAUCGCUAGUAAUCGCGUAUCAGCACGACGCGGUGAAUACGUUCCCGGGCCUUGUACACACCGCCCGUCACACCACGAAGGCCAG